CAAGUAAGUUCAAGUAAGAAAAUAUUUUGAAAAAUAAAUUUGGAGGGAUUCUCAUUCCAAAACAAUAUUUCGGCUAAAAACCAGCUACCAAAUUUCCGUUGCGACCAAAAAAAUUAACCUAACAUCGAAAUGUGCUGCGGUCCCUGUUAUGGCUCUUGCUGUAGUCCCUGUUAUAGCUCGUGCUGUAGCCCCUGUGGGUCGUGCUGUGGUCCUUGUGGACCCUGCUGUGGCCCCUGUGGACCUUGUGGCGGCUGUGGCCCGUGUGGAUCCUGCUGUGGCCGUUGCUAGACAUAUCUACGCCGCUUUUUCCCAAUUCAGCUUCUGGGAUUUACAACACCACUAAUUCAAAGCGGCUAAAUGUCAAAUGAACGGCGAACGGCAAAAAUAUUGUUAAAUGGAUUGUGAUCCCAAAGCAAAUCAAUGUUAUCGAACAACGUGACCAACAGCGGACCAGAAAAGUUCUAGGCAGCCAUAUAAAACAGCUAUUUUUCACAUUUUUUUGGUUACAUUUUUCUUUU